rnacentral:miRNA from 1 species
GUAGGAACUUCAUACCAAGCUC